GUGUUACUGUCCAAUGAGCGCAUAGUGAGGGCAGUACUGCUAACACAU
rnacentral:precursor_RNA from 1 species